UGACAAACAUAUCCACCAGGGGGCCGCAUCUGCUCUUUUCCAGAACCUCGGCUGCGGUCUGGGAAUUCCUUUUGGGAGAGUUGCCUGUAAAGGGCCUCUGGUAGGGUAAAAGUGCACCUACGGGACCUUUACAUACAUUUGUUGCCCCCACAGUCAUUUGAAAAGGGAUGUGACAGGCAUGGUGCUGAGCAAUGCAGAGCUACAGGUGAGAAGAACCAGCUCCUGGGCUCAGGGCUUAGUCUGGCAGGGGACAGCUCUGAGGAAGAAUGGUGAUACAGCAGCUGGAAUCUGAUCCAGGUCGGGGAGCCAGUAGGAGGAAGCCACUCUUGCUGUAAUCUGCCACCUCCCAACAUGGGGGUGUAAUAAACUAAUUUCCUGAGGCCUUGAUGUCUUCAGGAAUUCAGAAGAGACUCCCUGCAUCACUGAGGAAACCAACUGGCUGGUUUUGUAGCAGGGAGGGGAAGAAGGCGGUGGCAAGGCAGGCUAGUGCCAAACAGAUGGGAAACAGUGAGCAAGAAAGGGCUAGACCCUCCUGCCUGCCGAUGUCUC